rnacentral:rRNA from 1 species
GAUGAACGCUGGCGGCGUGCCUAAUACAUGCAAGUCGAGCGAACAGAUGAGGAGCUUGCUCCUCUGACGUUAGCGGCGGACGGGUGAGUAACACGUGGAUAACCUACCUAUAAGACUGGGAUAACUUCGGGAAACCGGAGCUAAUACCGGAUAAUAUAUUGAACCGCAUGGUUCAAUAGUGAAAGACGGUUUUGCUGUCACUUAUAGAUGGAUCCGCGCCGCAUUAGCUAGUUGGUAAGGUAACGGCUACCAAAGCGACGAUGCGUAGCCGACCUGAGAGGGUGAUCGGCCACACUGGAACUGAGACACGGUCCAGACUCCUACGGGAGGCAGCAGUAGGGAAUCUUCCGCAAUGGGCGAAAGCUUGACGGAGCAACGCCGCGUGAGUGAUGAAGGUCUUCGGAUCGUAAAACUCUGUUAUUAGGGAAGAACAAAUGUGUAAGUAACUAUGCACGUCUUGACGGUACCUAAUCAGAAAGCCACGGCUAACUACGUG